CGAGCUGCAAUGGUCAUCAGGUAACUCAAAGAGCUAGUGAUGCUGUAUUUAUCCUUUUGUGAAAUGAACAGGAGGUACGUAGCUGGGAGCUAGUGAUGCUGUAUUUAUCAUGCAUCCCAUUAUUGUAGCUAUUAAAAGAAGAAAUUGUGCUUUACCCCCCCACCCAAAAAAAAAGUGGGGAAAUCGAUGUUAAAUAUAUAUUAUUUUUGUCAUUCAAUCUCCGGCCACC
rnacentral:lncRNA from 1 species